AUGAACGCUAGCGGGAGGCCUAAAAUAUGCAAGCCGAGCGGUAGAGAUCUUUCGGGAACUUGAGAGCGGCGUACGGGUGCGGAACACGUGUGAAACCUGCCUUUAUCAGGGGGUUAGCCUUUCGAAAGGAAGAUUAAUAUCCCAUACUAUAAGAAACGGCAUAGUUUCUUAUUGAAAACCCCGGUGGACAGAGAUGGGCACGCGCAAGAUUAGAUAGAUGGUGAGGUAACGGCUCACCAAGUCUACGAUCUUUAGUGAGCCUGAGAGGGUGAUCCCCCACACUGAGACUGAGACACGGACCAGACUCCUACGGGAGGAAGCAGAGAGUAAUAUUGGACAAUGGGUGGUAGCCUGAUCCAGCCAUCCCGCGUGAAGGACGACGGCCCUAUGGGUUGUAAACUGCUUUUGUAUAGGGAUAAACCUACCCUCGUGAGGGUAGCUGAAGGUACUAUACGAAUAAGCACCGGCUAACUCCGUGCCAGCCGCCGCCGUAACAC
rnacentral:rRNA from 1 species